AUGCUCGCCGCGAUCACCACAUGGGGCAAUCUCGCACUCUGCAGGGUUGGCAGCCCGGAGGCCGGCUGGACCACACAAGGAUGUGGCACAGAAGCAUAUGGGGAUCUUGUGGACAUCGCGUUCUGUGAUGGCGAACUCCAUGGCCUCUCUCGCAACCACAAACUGUUCCUAUAUGGCAUCUCGUGCACCAAGCUGUUCAUGUACGAGGUCGGCGUAAAUGAAGACAGCGACCCUCCAACGAUCGCCAUGGUGCACAUCAUAUCUGACCUCGAGGAGAGCAUCCCGAACAUGCACAAGCUAGGGCCCAAACACAUAUUCGAGCUGCAUGGCAAGGUGGCAAUCGCAAUGGAGUUCUGUGAGUGGCCCGACCUCCGCUCAUACUUCAAGGUGUACGAGCUCCCGCCAUAG
rnacentral:rRNA from 1 species